rnacentral:lncRNA from 1 species
CAAUUCUUCUCCAAGUCACCUGGUUGAAGUGAGUGGGUUCCAAACUCCUAGACUAGGGAGUCAGUUCCAUAUCAUCCAAGGACAUGUGCAUACAUGGGCCUCUCAGACUGUUACCUAUCUGGUUUUUCAACUUUCUAGGGUUUUUUUCUGUCUCUUUUUCUAGCUCUCUGUCUGCCUUCACCAUGUCCUGCAUCUCCGUCUCUCUAGAUCCCCCCUUUCAUCGUUUUUCCAUCCUCUUUCAGCAUGAAUAGCAAAAAGGGCACUGUCCCAGGAGGCAGAAAAUGUCUUUUGUUUUUAAUACUUUAUUGAUAAGUGAUCUUGAUCCAUAGAGGUUCUGAGGCUACUAGAAGAUCGUAAUUAGAGUCUUGCUUCUAUCCCUCUCUGGCUACUUGAGAAGUAAGGUCACUUCCUCUCUCAUGAGCCUCCAUGUCCCCAUGUUAAAGUUGUGCUAGUGGCACCUUCUUAGAGAACAAUGUUCUUCACGGGUUGUUGUGACGAGCAUAUGAGAGAAGCUAAACCACGGAGAGUCACAGAAAUGGAAGGGAUUGUUGCAAUUGUUAUGUUUUUCACAAACUAUUCUUGUCUCCUCUUAUUUCUAACUUUCACUUUCUUUCCCUAUUUGACUUCAUCUUGUUUUCUGCUAAUCUGCCUUUUUUUCUUUUAUCUGCCUCAUAAUUUAUUUCUCUUCCUCCUUUCGCAUUUGUGCUUGUCUCUCAGUCCACUUGCCUGCAUGAAUAGUUUUCCGUUUAUCUGCGUUUCUUCUUUCCCGCUCCUUUGAAAAACGAUGACUGAUGGGUCUCAAAGUAGUUUGUGAAUAUAUUACAAAAUAAGGUAAAUAACAUGAAGAUUUAUUUUUUCUCAGAUCUAAAGAAUAAAUAAAAUGAAAAGGAAGUAGGGCAAGGAGUCAGAGAUGGGAAAGGAGUUUAAUCUGCUAUACAAAAGAAUUUCCUGAUACAGAAAAGUGAUUUUUUUUAAAUCAUAGUUUCUACCCAGGAAUUUUCCGUGGCCGUGGAAUAUUGAUUCAAGACCUUAAAAGAUAUCUUCCAACAUAUGAUGUGCAAAGAAGAAAAAAGGGAGAAGAGAAGUAGAGGAGAAGGAAUUUGGUGACAAACAGACCAUUUCCAGCCACAGCAACAGAAUGAGCAGAUCCCCCAACCUGGAAUCAGCAACUGCUGCAUUUCUUCCUGAAGAUACACUUCUCGCCAACACAGACCUGGACGUUCUUGUUGAGACUGAGAGCCACAAGGAAAACAAAGAGAUAUGCAGAGGUAGGGAAAAAGCAAUUGAUUGAAGAAAUAUGCUGUGAGGUAUGUGAUACAAUCCCUAAAUGGUGGCCCCAAAAUUCUUCAAGAAAGCUCUCAGAAGAAAAUAAGAACUGAUCAAUGGAAUUUCGUUACUUCUCAAAUGCAGCAAGAGGAGGAGCUGUAUGCCAAAUAUGUGUGGAUUAUUAAUGAGGAGAAGGAAGGGCAGAAGCAAGAACAGGGAGACUGAGAAGAGCACCCAUUUGCCCAGGUUGUAAACUAGGGGUAAGAGUUAUAGAGCAAAAUCUCCUAGAGUCAAGGAAGCUUUGAGUGACAAC